AGCUUUGUGCAGUGGCAGUAUUGCAGCCAAUGAGGUUUAUCCGAGGCAUGACUGUUGCUAAUUGAAAACUUCCCAAUACCCCGCCAUGACAACUUGAAAUACAGUCAGCUUUGGCAAUUUUUGGCAGUCUCUACGGCAGGCGA
ensembl:snRNA U4 U4 spliceosomal RNA